GCAGAUUUUUUUUUCGUCGUUAAAAUGGGCCGAACGAAGAAAGGUAACUUAGCAAAUUAGUUUUAGAUUCAAUGUUACACAUCUAAUAAACAAUAUUUAUUAUUUAUCUUUCCAGAAAACCCAAAAAAAAGUGAAGACUACGGCCAAAAGUGCUCAACAAAAGCGUUUCCGGAAGGCGGGGGCGGAGCCCCAAGAACGUCAGAAAAAAACAGCAAAGUGCGGCCAAAACGGUGAACGAUUCUGCGCUUAAACUGAAGCUGGACGAAAAGCUACAGAAAUCCGGAAUAAGCCUGAGCCAGAA